AACGAACGCUGGCGGCGUGCCUAACACAUGCAAGUCGAGCGCGAAAAGGGCAACCUGAGUAGAGCGGCGCACGGGUGCGUAACACGUGGGUAAUCUGCCUUAGAGUCGAGGAUAACCUUCCGAAAGGUUGGCUAAUACUCGGUAAGCUUACGGUGUCUUCGGACGCUGUGGGAAAAGUCUGCCUCUGUUUACAAGCUUACGCUCUGAGAUGAGCCCGCGGCCCAUCAGCUAGUAGGCGGUGUAACGGACCACCAAGGCAACGACGGGUAGCUGGUCUGAGAGGACGAUCAGCCACACUGGAACUGAGACACGGUCCAGACUCCUACGGGAGGCAGCAGUGGGGAAUUUUCCACAAUGGGCGAAAGCCUGAUGGAGCAACGCCGCGUGUGUGAUGAAGGUUUUCGGAUCGUAAAGCACUUUCGACUGGGACGAAAAACCUUUGGCUAACAUCCAGGGGCCUGACGGUACCAGGAGAAGAAGCACCGGCUAACUCUGUGCCAGCCGCCGCUGUAAUAC
rnacentral:rRNA from 1 species